AGAGAUGUGUGAUGACGCAUAUCAAUAAGCGGAGGAAAAGAAACUAACAAGGAUUCCCUUAGUAACGGCGAGUGAAGCGGGAAGAGCUCAAAUUUGAAAUCUUCAAGGUUCUACCUUGACGAAUUGUAGUUUAUAGAAGUGUUUUCUGUUAGUGGAGUGGCAAAAGUUCUUUGGAAUAGGACAUCAUAGAGGGUGAGAAUCCCGUAUUUGGUCAUUCCUCCUAGCGUUGUGAUACACUUUCAACGAGUCGGAUUGUUUGGGAAUGCAGUCCAAAAUGGGUGGUAAAUUUCAUCUAAAGCUAAAUAUUGGCGAGAGACCGAUAGCGAACAAGUACCGUGAGGGAAAGAUGAAAAGAACUUUGAAAAGAGAGUUAAACAGUACGUGAAAUUGUCAAAAGGGAAGCGUUUGACACCAGUGUUGUUUUUCCGAAAAUCAAUUACGAAUGUUUUAUUUUUGAGGAGUUAUGACUUCAUCGGCUUGCUCCUUUCUUUAUGAAACUUUCUUAAUGCACUUUUCGGUUAACAAGUCAACAUCAAUUUCUUUUGUUGUAAAAGGGUAUGAGGGAAGGUGGCUUUCUUUUCGGAGAAAGUGUUUAUAGCCUUGUGCCUCUGCAAUCGGAGAGAUUGAGGUCUGCAGCGUAGAUCCUUCGGGGUUAGAUACGUUUGUGCUAAGUUAUAGCUUUUCAUAGACAACUUGUUGACUAUGUUUAGUCUUGUAGCUUACUCGCUGACGCUAUUUUACCUACGCUUAGGAUGUUGAGUAGCGACAUACGCAC
rnacentral:rRNA from 1 species